GACGAACGCUGGCGGCGUGCCUAAUACAUGCAAGUCGAACAGUGGCGAACGGGUGAGUAACACGUGAGUAACCUGCCCUCCACUUUGGGAUAAAUCCGAGAAAUCGGGGCUAAUACUGGAUAGUGUGGGAUGGGCUCGCGGCCUAUCAGUUAGUUGGUGAGGUAGUGGUCACCAAUGCGUGACGGGUAGCCGGCCUGAGAGGGCGACCGGCCACACUGGGACUGAGGCACGGCCCAGACUCGUACGGUAGGCAGCAGUGGGGAAUAUUGCACAAUGGGCGAAAGCCUGAUGCAGCGACGCCGCGUGGGUGAUGUCGGCCUUCGGGUUGUAAACCUCUUUCAGCAAGGAAGCGUUACUUGCAGAAGAAGCGCCGGCUAACUACGUGCCAGCAGCCGCGGUAAUAC
rnacentral:rRNA from 1 species